rnacentral:lncRNA from 1 species
CUUUAGUGAUCGUCACCAGCAACGGGUCAGCUGUUGUGAUGAGGUCGCUCUGAUCCCUUCCACUUGGCUCUCAAGAACCUUAAGGUACCAGGGCUACAGAUGAAAGGCAGCCCAGCCCUUCACUCUCUUUACCACAACAAUUUGGAUGGAACUGCUUGGAUGACAAUCUAAAAAGCCCCUCGGGUCCUCCCCAAAGGGGCCACUGGCCAGCUCCCCUUGUUCUAAGGGGUGAUUGGCAAAUCCACCUAAUCAGGCAGAACUAAUUCCCACGGGCCUGGCACGUAGUUAGUG